ACAUUCUUUCGGGGCUGGGUGAAAUUCCCAACCGGCGGUGAUAGCCCGCGACCCUUAUGCACUGCAUAAGGCUGACUCUUUGAAAUUCAGAGGCCGACAGUUAAAGUCUGGAUGGGAGAAAGAAUAG
rnacentral:ncRNA from 2 species